GGAUCAGGAGAUCUGGCUGCAACAUCUGUCACCCCACUGAUCUCCAGGAUUGAUUCUGUUGAUCUGGCUGGCUAGGCAGGAGUCCUCUUCCUCCUUGACUGAUCCUGUAUUUCCCUCCAAAAGCUGCUUGGUUGGUUGAAGAGGCCUACCCCAAAUAGAGAAUAUGAAUAGCUGUACUUUCCUGCUAGAACCUCCAAACAAGCUCUCUAGGGCCUGAUGAUUUUAAUGUGAUAAACUCAAUAAAGUGUAUUGAUAGUAGCUAUCAUAUCCUUU
rnacentral:snRNA from 1 species